ACGCGACCUCAUCUCAAGUAGGGCUAUCCACUGAGUUUAAGCAUAUCAAUAAGCAGAGGAAAAGAAACUAAUAAGGAUUCCCAUA
rnacentral:rRNA from 1 species